UGGAGAUGAUUCAACUUCCAGAGACUUCCUCAUAAAUUUUUGGAAUUUUUGAGACACAGAUAAACUUCGGGUGAUCGAGGUCAGCUAUUUUUCUGCAUCCAGCAGCCACAAUAGUCAUCGGUGUACUGUGAGUAAAAUAUUAAUUUUAAUUGUAAUUUCGAUAUUAUUAUAUGUUCAAGCAUGCCCAUGCAUCACUUAUAUGCA